GCGUGCUUAACACAUGCAAGUCGAACGGAAAGGCCCUGCUUUUGUGGGGUGCUCGAGUGGCGAACGGGUGAGUAACACGUGAGUAACCUGCCCUUGACUUUGGGAUAACUUCAGGAAACUGGGGCUAAUACCGGAUAGGAGCUCCUGCUGCAUGGUGGGGGUUGGAAAGUUUCGGCGGUUGGGGAUGGACUCGCGGCUUAUCAGCUUGUUGGUGGGGUAGUGGCUUACCAAGGCUUUGACGGGUAGCCGGCCUGAGAGGGUGACCGGCCACAUUGGGACUGAGAUACGGCCCAGACUCCUACGGGAGGCAGCAGUGGGGAAUAUUGCACAAUGGGCGGAAGCCUGAUGCAGCAACGCCGCGUGCGGGAUGACGGCCUUCGGGUUGUAAACCGCUUUCGCCUGUGACGAAGCGUGAGUGACGGUAAUGGGUAAAGAAGCACCGGCUAACUACGUGCCAGCAGCCGCGGUGAUACGUAGGGUGCGAGCGUUGUCCGGAUUUAUUGGGCGUAAAGGGCUCGUAGGUGGUUGAUCGCGUCGGAAGUGUAAUCUUGGGGCUUAACCCUGAGCGUGCUUUCGAUACGGGUUGACUUGAGGAAGGUAGGGGAGAAUGGAAUUCCUGGUGGAGCGGUGGAAUGCGCAGAUAUCAGGAGGAACACCAGUGGCGAAGGCGGUUCUCUGGGCCUUUCCUGACGCUGAGGAGCGAAAGCGUGGGGAGCGAACAGGCUUAGAUACCCUGGUAGUCCACGCUGUAAACGGUGGGUACUAGGUGUGGGGUCCAUUCCACGGGUUCCGUGCCGUAGCUAACGCUUUAAGUACCCCGCCUGGGGAGUACGGCCGCAAGGCUAAAACUCAAAGGAAUUGACGGGGCCCCGCACAAGCGGCGGAGCAUGCGGAUUAAUUCGAUGCAACGCGUAGAACCUUACCUGGGUUUGACAUGGAUCGGGAGUGCUCAGAGAUGGGUGUGCCUCUUUUGGGGUCGGUUCACAGGUGGUGCAUGGCUGUCGUCAGCUCGUGUCGUGAGAUGUUGGGUUAAGUCCCGCAACGAGCGCAACCCUUGUUCACUGUUGCCAGCACGUUAUGGUGGGGACUCAGUGGAGACCGCCGGGGUCAACUCGGAGGAAGGUGGGGAUGACGUCAAGUCAUCAUGCCCCUUAUGUCCAGGGCUUCACGCAUGCUACAAUGGCUGGUACAGAGAGUGGCGAGCCUGUGAGGGUGAGCGAAUCUCGGAAAGCCGGUCUCAGUUCGGAUUGGGGUCUGCAACUCGACCUCAUGAAGUCGGAGUCGCUAGUAAUCGCAGAUCAGCAACGCUGCGGUGAAUACGUUCCCGGGGCUUGUACACACCGCCCGUCAAGUCAUGAAAGUUGGUAACACCCGAAGCCGGUGGCCUAACCGUUGUGGGGGAGCCGUCGAAGGUGGGACUGGUGAUU
rnacentral:rRNA from 1 species